UAGCAGUUUGGCCCCAUUGGCUGUCUGC
rnacentral:sRNA from 1 species